rnacentral:rRNA from 1 species
CCUUUGACGUUAGCGGCGGACGGGUGAGUAACACGUGGGUAACCUACCUAUAAGACUGGGAUAACUUCGGGAAACCGGAGCUAAUACCGGAUAAUAUUUCGAACCGCAUGGUUCGAUAGUGAAAGAUGGUUUUGCUAUCACUUAUAGAUGGACCCGCGCCGUAUUAGCUAGUUGGUAAGGUAACGGCUUACCAAGGCGACGAUACGUAGCCGACCUGAGAGGGUGAUCGGCCACACUGGGACUGAGACACGGUCCAGACUCCUACGGGAGGCAGCAGCG